UACGGAGGGUGCGAGCGUUGUCCGGAAUCACUGGGCGUAAAGGGCGCGUAGGCGGCGCGGUGAGUCAACGGUGAAAGCUCGGCGCUCAACGCCGAGUCGGCCGUCGAUACUCCCGUGCUCGAGCACUGUAGAGGCAGGUGGAAUUCCGGGUGUAGCGGUGGAAUGCGUAGAGAUCCGGAAGAACACCGGUGGCGAAGGCGGGUCUCUGGGCCGAUACUGACGCUGAGGAGCGAAAGCGUGGGGAGCGAACAGG
rnacentral:rRNA from 1 species